AGAACUGCUCUGCUCCAGUAGGAGUCCCACAACUCUCUGAUGAGCUUUUAUUGAAGAAUGACCAUAUGACAGAAAGAGAGAACUGCUCUGCUCCAGUAGGAGUCCCACAACUCUCUGAUGAGCUUUUAUUGAAGAAUGACCAUAUGACACAAGAGAGAAGUACUCUGCUCCAGUAGGAGUCCAACAACUCUCUGAUGAGAGAAAGUUACAGUGGAUCGUGUUUUUGGAGGAGGUGAAGUCCAGUCUAAAAGAGUCCCCUCAAGUAUCAUCACCAUGGUACAGUGUCUGUGAAGAUAGUGAAGCAGACCCAGCAUUCACAAAAAAAAGAGAGGUCCCAUAAGGAGAAGACCCUGGAGCAAACAGGAAGUACAUGCUGUGGUGAAAGCUGAACCAUUAGUUCUAAAAACCAGAGAUUGGUCAGAUUUGGAUUUUUAUAUUAAAAACUGAAUCUUGUCUCUUUAAAGAGAAAUCUGGGUAACACUUUUAUAGUAACUACACACUAUAAAUCAUUUGUUUAGCACUAACUCUACAUUAAUAGACUUUAGUAAGCAGUUUAUAAAUACAGCUACAAAGGCUGUGUUCUUGACUUGACUUAAUUGUAUUUUCAUGCUUUGUUACUGAUUUAUUUUUCAUUACUAAAUUAAGUAUUGCAUUAUUUACAAACCAUUUGUAUAAAAGGGUACUUGGUGGUUUUUAAGAUCACUCAGAAUGAGUUAGUAAAUGAUUAAUAAACUAUUCAAAUUUGUACAUGUUAUUAUUCAGGCAUAUUGUAUGUUAACAGAUGCUUUAUUAACACAACUUCAUGCAGUUUUGUGACCUAAUCUAGUAAGGACCAUUUAUACUUUAUAAAUUACUUAUGAAUGACAAUU